rnacentral:lncRNA from 1 species
AUCUCCAGGCAGGUGUCUCUUUUAUUUUGGUGUCAUUUCCCUCAGAUAUCAUCUCCAGGCAGGUGUCUCUUUUAUUUUGGUGUCAUUUCCCUCAGAUAUCAUCUCCAGGCAGGUGUCUCUUUUAUUUUGGUGUCAUUUCCCCUCACAGAUGAUCUCCAGGCAGGUCUCUCUUUUAUUUUGGUGCCAUUUCCCCUCAGAGAUGAUUCCCAGGAUCUCCAGGCAGGUGUCUCUUCUUUUUUCAUGGCAUUUCCCCUCAGAGAUGAUCUUCAGGAUCUCCAGGCAGGUGUCUCUUUUAUUUUGGUGCCAUUUCCCUCAGAGAUCAUCUCCAGGAUCUCCAGGCAGGUGUCUCUUUUAUUUUGGUGCCAUUUCCCUCAGAUAUCAUCUCCAGGCAGGUGUCUCUUUUAUUUUGGUGCCAUUUCCCCUCAGAGAUGAUUCCCAGGAUCUCCAGGCAGGUGUCUCUUUUAUUUU